CGAGUGGCGGACGGGGGAGUAAUGUCUGGGAAACUGCCCGAUGGAGGGGGGUAACUACUGGAAACGGUAGCUAAUACCGCAUAACGUCGCAAGACCAAAGAGGGGGACCUUCGGGCCUCUUGCCAUCGGAUGAACCCAUAUGGGAUUAGCUUGUAGGUAAGGUAACGGCUUACCUAGGCGACGAUCCCUAGCUGGUCUGAGAGGAUGAUCAGCCACACUGGGACUGAGACACGGCCCAG
rnacentral:rRNA from 1 species